GGCCUAACACAUGCAAGUCGAGCGGUAACAGGAAAGUGCUUGCACUUUUGCUGACGAGCGGCGGACGGGUGAGUAAUGUCUGGGGAUCUGCCCGAGGGCGGGGGAUAACCACUGGAAACGGUGGCUAAUACCGCAUAAUGUCGCAAGACCAAAGUGGGGGACCUGAAAGGGCCUCACGCCCUUGGAUGAACCCAGAUGGGAUUAGCUGGUAGGUAGGGUAAUGGCCUACCUAGGCGACGAUCCCUAGCUGGUCUGAGAGGAUGACCAGCCACACUGGGACUGAGACACGGCCCAGACUCCUACGGGAGGCAGCAGUGGGGAAUAUUGCACAAUGGGCGCAAGCCUGAUGCAGCCAUGCCGCGUGUAUGAAGAAGUCCUUCGGGUUGUAAAGUACUUUCAGCGGGGAGGAAGGGUAUGGCCUGAAGAGGGCGAUAGCUUGACGUUACCCGCAGAAGAAGCACCGGCUAAC
rnacentral:rRNA from 1 species